rnacentral:rRNA from 1 species
UACGUAGGGGGCGAGCGUUGUCCGGAUUUAUUGGGCGUAAAGAGCGUGUAGGCGGCCAGGUAGGUCCGUUGUGAAAACUCGAGGCUCAACCUCGAGACGUCGAUGGAAACCAUCUGGCUAGAGUCCGGAAGAGGAGAGUGGAAUUCCUGGUGUAGCGGUGAAAUGCGCAGAUAUCAGGAAGAACACCAAUGGCGAAGGCAGCUCUCUGGGACGGUACUGACGCUGAGACGCGAAAGCGUGGGGAGCAAACAGG